AAGAGAGAGACAUGCGCGCAUAUCAAUAAGCGGAGGAAAAGAAACUAACUAGGAUUCCCUCUAGUAACGGCGAGUGAAGCGGGAAGAGCUCAAAUUUGAAAUCUUCAAGGUUCUACCUUGACGAAUUGUAGUUUAAAGAAGUGUUUUCUGUUGGAGUUUUGGUAAAAGUUCUUUGGAAUAGGACAUCAUAGAGGGUGAGAAUCCCGUAUUUGACCUAUUCUUUCUAGCUGUGUGAUACACUUUCAAAGAGUCGGAUUGUUUGGGAAUGCAGUCCAAAAUGGGUGGUAAAUUUCAUCUAAAGCUAAAUAUUGGCGAGAGACCGAUAGCGAACAAGUACCGUGAGGGAAAGAUGAAAAGAACUUUGAAAAGAGAGUUAAACAGUACGUGAAAUUGUCAAAAGGGAGGCGUUUGACACCAGUGUUGUUUUCUCGAAAAUCAAUUAAAAAUGGCUGGGAUUUUGUGUUGUAUUGACUUUAUCAGCUCUCUGCACUUUUUUCCUAUCUUUUUUAAUGCACUUUUCGUUUAACAAGUCAACAUCAACUUCUUUUGUUGUAAAAGGGUCAUUGGAAGGUGGCUUUCUUUUCGGAGAAAGUGUUUAUAGCCUUUGACUUCUGCAAUCGGAGAGAUUGAGGUCUGCAGCGUAGAUCCUUCGGGGUUAGAUACAUUUGUGCUAAGUUAUAGCCUUUCAUAGACAACUAGUUGACUAUGAUCAGUCAUGUAGCUUACUCGCUUAUGUCUAUUUUACCUACGCUUAGGAUGUUGACAGCAGUAUAGACUGU
rnacentral:rRNA from 1 species